rnacentral:misc_RNA from 1 species
AACUUUUAGCAACGGAUCUCUUGGCUCUCGCAUCGAUGAAGAACGCAGCGAAAUGCUAUAAGUAAUGUGAAUUGCAGAAUUCAGUGAAUCAUCGAAUCUUUGAACGCACCUUGCGCUCCUUGGUAUUCCGAGGUGCAUGCCUGUUUGAGUGUCAUUAAUAUAUAUAUAUCCAGUGUCUCUUGUUGACCGGAUUGAAGGUGGGGGUGUGCUGGACUAUACAAAGGUUCAGCUCCUCUGAAAGGCACUAGCAGAACAAUGCUGAUCAUUGUUCUAAGAACCACCAAGGCUAUUGAAUGUGAAGGGCAGUUUGUCAUUCUAACAGUCCAUAGACCUGCUCGUAAUUAAUGGCACUCUACAUCAAGUAGAACGACAAGUUGUACGUUGCCAAAUGUAUAUGCAGGCGUC